AUGGGGUUAGGGUGCUAUUUCGGAUGCAGACAGAAGAAACAGAGAAACAACCCUUUUCAAUCACUAUCCGUUCUUUGUGAAUCACAGUUCACAUAGCAAGGGCUUUUUUUUAUCAGUGCAAGUCAACUACAGGUCUCUGUGUAGAUGUAUGAAUCACUAGUCAACUACAGGUCUCUGUGUAGAUGUAUGGAUCACUAGUCAACUACAGGUCUCUGUGAAGAUGUAUGGAUCACUAGUCAACUACAGGUCUCUGUGAAGAUGUAUGGAUCACUAGUCAACUACAGGUCUCUGUGUAGAUGUAUGGAUCACUAGUCAACUACAGGUCUCUGUGUAGAUGUAUGAAUCACUAGUCAACUACAGGUCUCUGUGUAGAUGUAUGGAUCACUAGUCAACUACAGGUCUCUGUGUAGAUGUAUGGAUCACUAGUCAACUACAGGUCUCUGUGUAGAUGUAUGGAUCACUAGUCAACUACAGGUCUCUGUGAAGAUGUAUGGAUCACUAGUCAACUACAGGUCUCUGUGAAGAUGUAUGGAUCACUAGUCAACUACAGGUCUCUGUGUAGAUGUAUGGAUCACUAGUCAACUACAGGUCUCUGUGAAGAUGUAUGGAUCACUAGUCAACUACAGGUCUCUGUGAAGAUGUAUGGAUCACUAGUCAACUACAGGUCUCUGUGUAGAUGUAUGGAUCACUAGUCAACUACAGGUCUCUGUGAAGAUGUAUGGAUCACUAGUCAACUACAGGUCUCUGUGAAGAUGUAUGGAUCACUAGUCAACUACAGGUCUCUCUCUGUGUAGAUGUAUGGAUCACUAGGCAACUACAGGUCUCUGUGAAGAUGUAUGGAUCACUAGUCAACUACAGGUCUCUCUCUGUGUAGAUGUAUGGAUCACUAGUCAACUACAGGUCUCUGUGUAGAAGUAUGGAUCACUAGUCAACUACAGGUCUCUGUGAAGAUGUAUGGAUCACUAGUCAACUACAGGUCUCUGUGUAGAUGUAUGGAUCACUAGUCAACUACAGGUCUCUCUGUGUAGAUGUAUGGAUCACUAGUCAACUACAGGUCUCUGUGUAGAUGUAUGGAUCACUAGUCAACUACAGGUCUCUGUGUAGAUGUAUGGAUCACUAGUCAACUACAGGUCUCUGUGAAGAUGUAUGGAUCACUAGUCAACUACAGGUCUCUGUGAAGAUGUAUGGAUCACUAGUCAACUACAGGUCUCUGUGUAGAUGUAUGGAUCACUAGUCAACUACAGGUCUCUGUGAAGAUGUAUGGAUCACUAGUCAACUACAGGUCUCUGUGAAGAUGUAUGGAUCACUAGUCAACUACAGGUCUCUGUGAAGAUGUAUGGAUCACUAGUCAACUACAGGUCUCUGUGUAGAUGUAUGGAUCACUAGUCAACUACAGGUCUCUGUGAAGAUGUAUGGAUCACUAGUCAACUACAGGUCUCUGUGAAGAUGUAUGGAUCACUAGUCAACUACAGGUCUCUGUGUAGAUGUAUGGAUCACUAGUCAACUACAGGUCUCUGUGAAGAUGUAUGGAUCACUAGUCAACUACAGGUCUCUGUGAAGAUGUAUGGAUCACUAGUCAACUACAGGUCUCUCUGUGUAGAUGUAUGGAUCACUAGUCAACUACAGGUCUCUGUGUAGAUGUAUGGAUCACUAGUCAACUACAGGUCUCUGUGUAGAUGUAUGGAUCACUAGUCAACUACAGGUCUCUGUGAAGAUGUAUGGAUCACUAGUCAACUACAGGUCUCUGUGUAGAUGUAUGGAUCACUAGUCAACUACAGGUCUCUGUGAAGAUGUAUGGAUCACUAGUCAACUACAGGUCUCUCUGUGUAGAUGUAUGGAUCACUAGUCAACUACAGGUCUCUCUGUGUAGAUGUAUGGAUCACUAGUCAACUACAGGUCUCUCUGUGUAGAUGUAUGGAUCACUAGUCAACUACAGGUCUCUGUGUAGAU